UACGUAGGGUGCGAGCGUUAAUCGGAAUUACUGGGCGUAAAGCGUGCGCAGGCGGUUUUGUAAGUCAGAUGUGAAAUCCCCGGGCUCAACCUGGGAACUGCGUUUGAAACUACAAGGCUAGAGUAUGGCAGAGGGGGGUAGAAUUCCACGUGUAGCAGUGAAAUGCGUAGAGAUGUGGAGGAAUACCAAUGGCGAAGGCAGCCCCCUGGGUCAAUACUGACGCUCAUGCACGAAAGCGUGGGGAGCAAACAGG
rnacentral:rRNA from 2 species